rnacentral:rRNA from 1 species
AUUGAACGCUGGCGGCAUGCUUAACACACGCAAGUCGAACGGCAGCACGGGCUUCGGCCUGGUGGCGAGUGGCGGACGGGUGAGUAAUGCUUGGGAAUCUGCCUAGUGGUGGGGGAUAACUCUCCGAAAGGGGAGCUAAUACCGCAUAAGUUCUACGGAGGAAAGCGGGGGAUCUUCGGACCUCGCGCCAUUAGAUGAGCCCAAGUCCGAUUAGCUAGUUGGCGGGGUAAAGGCCCACCAAGGCGACGAUCGGUAGCUGGUCUGAGAGGACGAUCAGCCACACUGGGACUGAGACACGGCCCAGACUCCUACGGGAGGCAGCAGUGGGGAAUAUUGGACAAUGGGCGCAAGCCUGAUCCAGCAAUGCCGCGUGUGUGAAGAAGGCCUGCGGGUUGUAAAGCACUUUAAGCAGGAAAGAAGGGCGUAGUGAUAAUACCACUUCGCAUUGACGUUACCUGCAGAAUAAGCACCGGCUAACUCCGUGCCAGCCGCCGCGGUAAAAC